rnacentral:rRNA from 1 species
UACGGAGGGGGCUAGCGUUGUUCGGAAUUACUGGGCGUAAAGCGCACGUAGGCGGCUUUGUAAGUUAGAGGUGAAAGCCCGGGGCUCAACUCCGGAAUUGCCUUUAAGACUGCAUCGCUUGAACACGGGAGAGGUGAGUGGAAUUCCGAGUGUAGAGGUGAAAUUCGUAGAUAUUCGGAAGAACACCAGUGGCGAAGGCGGCUCACUGGACCGUUGUUGACGCUGAGGUGCGAAAGCGUGGGGAGCAAACAGU